UCAAGCCCAUAUUGUCCGUGGAC
rnacentral:siRNA from 1 species